rnacentral:rRNA from 1 species
UACCCGCAGCCCGAGUGGUGAUCGUUGUUAUUGGGCCUAAAGCGUCCGUAGCCUGCUCAGUAAAUCCUUGGGUAAAUCGGGCAGCUCAACUGUCCGAAUUCCGGGGAGACUGCUGAGCUUGGGACCGGGAGGGGUCGGAGGUACUCCGGGGGUAGAGGUGAAAUUCUGUAAUCCUCGGGGGACCACCAGUGGCGAAGGCGUCCGACUUGAACGGGUCCGACGGUGAGGGACGAAGCCCUGGGGCACAAACCGGAUUAGAUACCCGGGUAGUCCAGGGUGUAAACGCUGCGGGCUUGGUGUUGGGGGUCCUACGUGGGCGUCCAGUGCCGGAGAGAAGUUAUUAAGCCCGCCGCCUGGGGAGUACGGUCGCAAGACUGAAACUUAAAGGAAUUGGCGGGGAGCACCGCAACGGGUGGAGCGUGCGGUUU